CACGCCGAGGUAUAGACAUCUCGUACAUGAUAGUAGAAAGGACAUUGCUCCCUCCACCCCCACAAACGCUCCCUCCAUCUCCCCAAAAUUUCUCCAAAUUCUUUUAAUUACAAAAAUAUCCUUUCUUUACUUUAACCAUAUUUUAUAAACCUAUGCAACCCCACCCCACGCCAACCCCCCUCUCCGAACUCUACAUCCGUUUGUCCCACUCUCAUUUCUAAAUUCGUUUCUUCUCAUCCUCCAUCUCUCACUUUCUCCCUCUAUUUCCAUUCCAUCCUCACUCCCACCCUAGAAACGUCGUCCAAACUCGCCUCCGUCCUCCA
rnacentral:lncRNA from 1 species